UACGAAGGGGGCUAGCGUUGCUCGGAAUUACUGGGCGUAAAGCGCACGUAGGCGGUCUUUUAAGUCGGGGGUGAAAUCCUGGAGCUCAACUCCAGAACUGCCUUCGAUACUGGAAGACUCGAGUCCGGGAGAGGUGAGUGGAACUGCGAGUGUAGAGGUGAAAUUCGUAGAUAUUCGCAAGAACACCAGUGGCGAAGGCGGCUCACUGGCCCGGUACUGACGCUGAGGAGCGAAAGCGUGGGUAGCAAACAGG
rnacentral:rRNA from 1 species